AGCAAAGAAGCAGUAUGUCACAAAGACAAGUCAUUCUACACUUUAAAAGGUCAAGUGCUUGGUAUUUGAACUAGAACAUCAGUAGAACAUCAUCAUUUCUCCUUGAUAAACUGUAGUCUCACUCCAUGGGAAGACAUUACGUAUCUCUGGAAGUGUAACCAUUAUCUCUUUCUCUUUGACCUGCCCCAGGUAGAUUUUAUUCUCAAAUUAAAAGAUGAAAAUAGUCUGGAGUGGGAUGAAAAUCAGUUCACAUUACCACAAACUUCAUGCUGCUACUUGUAAAAGAAAGGAGGAGUCACAUGAGCAACAUCUCAGAAUUUUGUAAAUGGCAAAUAAAAAUUUUGUAGCCUCCUUACUUAUUAGCUACCAUAAACAUUUUCUUUGGUUUACAUGUUUGACCUACUUUUAAGGCCUUUAUAUUAAAAAAAAAAAAAGUCAGGUAGAAAGUUAACUUUUUUGUUUACUUCCAGCUCAACAGGGUUAGACUGGAAUACACUAUGAGUGUUUCCUGGCACAGGUGUAUCUUAGGUAGGAAAGGUUUACUGUUCAAAAUUCCCAGUUGUCCUGGUUUGAAGGAAUGAAUGAACCAGUACUGAUCAGUGGUGAGCUGGUACUACUAACUUCAGAAUUUAUACAAACACCUUGAGACUCUCAUAGUGGAAGAAGAGUGGUGCAUGAUAAAUUCUUCCUCUUCAAUUGUUGCAUAAAAUGUCACUCAUUCAUACAUGGUGUAACUAGUAAAUGUUUGUCUGAAUCCUGUCUUAAGCAGGCACUGGAAAUACGGAAAAAACUGGCAAUAGAAUUCUAAUAAAUAAAUUGCACUCUGAGUUGUAUUCAGUACAUUUGGCACUGAUUUGAGGACCAUAAAGAAAAAAUUUCCGGAGAGAGUGUGUUACUUUACAUAGCUUUCCCUGUUCUUCAUAAGGUUUAUUAUAGAAAGAAAAUGAAAUUAUAAAGGAUGGUAGAUGAAAGCAUCUUUUACUCUGAUGUACCUUAAAUAAAUCUUUAUUCUCUCAACAGAUAACCAGUGAAAGAAGUUUGCUUCUUCAUUUCAUAUUUUAUAUUUUAAGCCUUUCAUGAUUUUCAGUCAGAAAAGGGAACUGGUCUGGUGUCAGUGGUUUGCCCCACUUCACCAAACAAAUCAGUAAUUAACUAUUUUAUUUUCACCAAGAAUAUUAUCAUAUCAGUAUGUCUUGAGACAUAUUGAAUAUGUCUCAAGUUGAAGUUAUAUCCACAAUAAAUCUGAAAACUGUUUUUCAGCACCAUCAGCAUUGUACAAUAAAUAAUAUUUCCCUGACUACAAAUAUUUGGGCAUAUUAAUACACUGAGAGUUUUUCAAGUGCUUAAGUGAGUAAGGACCAUGAACCCUGAUGCUUUUUAUCCUCAUCUUCGUCUCAACAAAAUGUCUAUGAAAAGGGACUCAGUGCAGGGCAGUACUCUCUAUUUUGCACAUCAAUAAUUUGCAGAGAUGCCUGACCUCAUUACUCUAUUAUCCAGGCUUAGGCAAUGAAUAAUACAUGAGCCCAGCACGAGUAAUACAUUCACCACCACUCUACACCUCAUCUGUGAGCUGGUGUCCCCUAGACUGAGCUGCCUGGGAACAUCAGGGCAUUUUUAUAUUACUUCUAAUGUGUAAAAUAUUUUAGAAAAUAGAAUCAUGCCAUCAGUUCUUAAUAUUUUUCAGGGCAUAUCAAAUUGUGUAAACAGGACUUAGCUCCACAGUAUCUUUAAAUUUUCUCCAAAGGGCUGGGUAACUCUUGGAUCCUAUGGCAGCAAAGUUGUUUGGUAGCAUGGGGUGCUGUGCAGAAACAAGCUUUUACUGGGUCAUGCCAGCAGCAAGACGACUUUCGCGUCUUCUGUCUUCAUUAUCAGGAAGAUAACUAUGGAUUUUCUGGAAGUCUCCUCUUCGGGCUUGGUACAGAGGUGAGACACAAAGAGCUCCCAGUGGGUGCAGUCUUGUUUCCACUCUCACGUGUGGAUGUACUUUUGAAACCACACUGUUUUGGCACUGCCAGGACAUUACAGCUGCUGUAGUGGUGCAUGCACAAUGAGAGUUCCUUGACUUAUGAAGCAUCAAUAUUCUUCUGCUGAAUUUAGUUACUGUAAGGGAACAUUAGAUGGCACACUGAAAAAAACAAAUUCUGUUUAAGUUCUCAUUAAGUGCCAUCUUGCAAGCACUAUAGAAAAAUCACCACUGUUUCUAGAGUGCACUCAAGCACAGCCUCUCUUUUGUCAUGAAACACCACUACUACAAAGCAAAAAAUAGAAGGAAAAAUGUUUAGUUGUUUUUUUGUUUUUUUUUAAGAUUGCCAAUAUUAUGCAUUUGACAGCACAUCUCAAUACUAAAAAUUUGAAUUCAAGCUCAGAAUUAAGUGUCCAGCCCCUUAUCUUGAAGUCAGUUUGGUAAGAUGCAAGACAGUCAAGCAGUGGAAUGCUGUAAACUUAAUUACAUUUAACAACUGCUGAAAAGACUAAAAAUCUUACUUAACAGCAUAGAGUUUUGACUACCCUCAAACCCAACUUCCGUGCUUCAGUCUGCUUUAAGAGGAUGAUCCUUAAGAAAUCAGUGGCACGGUAGAUUCCCUCCACUUAGGCACAUCAGCUGUCCCUACAAAUAUCACCUGAAGCUGCAGAUAUAUGGAAGAGAUUUUUUAAAACAAUUUUGAAAAAAUCAGUAUAAUGAAUAUUAAUAUAGCUGCCUACAUUCAUUUAAAGUGAACUCAUGGCAAUUUUAUUAUUUUAUUUUAUAUAAAGGCAAACUGAUACUAUUUCCUCCUUAAUUACAUUAGUUAAGAUCUCAGCAACUUCACAGUACAGACUGGUUCCUCAAGACAUUAAGCAUCUUUUGGGAGCUGAUGAAUAUCCUCUGACUAAAAUAGAACUCAUCCUAGCCAUCUGGUUGUAAUCCCCAGAUGCUUUUGAUCAACAGUAUUAAAUAUUUAGCUUUUCUAAUAAUUUCUCCCUGUUAUAAUCUUCCCAGAUCAAAGAGAAACAUGUUCCUUGAAAUGACAAAUGCACUAAACCAGCAAACUGUACCAUUUAAGAGCAGAUUUUACAGUCAAGUCUCAAGGGUUUCAGUAGAAAAUUAUUUUCAAACAGAUUCAAGCAGAUCCAACCCCAAAUGUCACAGGCAAAAUAUAAUUUUAUAAUUAAGGGCAUCUGCCUUCUACAGUCCUUUGGCAUAGGCUUAUUAGUGAUUGCAAAUAGUUCCAUGAGCCACAUUCAGCAACUUCAGCACUUAUGGCAUUACAUCAAGCUCUGGGUGUUUUACUGUCUAAAAUAGUGUCUGGCUGUCCACAAUUUUCUCUUGCAAGGAUUAGCCCAGGUGUUUAAAAGGUUUUUAAAAGGAUCAGUUGCUAAGUGAAUAAUCUUAGCAAAGUGGUUUUUUCUACAGCAGAAUCUGAGGGUUCUGAAGUAGAACUAAAUAAUGGAAAUGGUGACACAGGGCUGAAGGUCACCCAGCUCCAACAAACCCCCAGAGAGAUGACCUUUAUAAAUAACUAUUCCUUUUAGCAGCUCUCUGCCCAUGGGAAACAACACAUCAAUUUCACUGGGGAAUUUGGGAAUGACAUAUAGCAUGCACAUGGUUCAAUGGGCUUCAGCUGUUAUCUUUCAAACAAAAAUAAAUAUCUGAGAGGAAUGCAGCAUGCAACUUCCACAGUCUUGGCAUGUGGUCAUGAGCCAACAGUGAAAAGCCUAAACCAGAUAGCAUUUCAUGCCAUGUUGAAUUGAGCACUCAACAGUCACCAUUUGCUCUUUUAAACUAAUUUUAAAAAAAUUUAAAAUCCCAAAACAAAAUUUAAAAUUUGUGUCAUUUCAUUGGCAGAAAACCACACACAGCUUUCUGAAUUGCCAUAAGCAAAAAAGUAAGAUUGACACACAAAAAAAAAAAAGGUAAAAAAGGUAAGAAUUUGACAGUACCUUUUAAUGUAGGAUCCCAAACAGGACCCCAAAAUAUUUUAUAGACACAAAUAAAUGAAACUACACUCCAUCACAUUGAGUUGGAUAUUACUGUAUGCAUUAAAAAAUAAAAGAAAUUAAAUAAUUUAAAAAUAUUUGUUAAGAUGUUAACAUAAUGUGCUAAGAUCACAGAGGCCUGUAAAAAAGCUAAGUACUAAUCAACAGUAGUGUUUUUCAACUAUUGCCCAAUACUAUAAAUUUUACUUGUGUAGACUCAACAUACAAUAAAAAGGAAGGAUAUUUGUGCUUGGGGGCAUGGGAGACAGAUGAUGGUGAGCUGCAAAUUUGCUACAUAAGUAUAAACACUGGCUGAGAUGCAAAAGUAGUGAGAAGCCUUGAGAAUAUGUUAUCUCAAGUUUUGCAUGAGACUGUCAUAUUUUUAUGUGUUUCUAUAACAGAAGAUACUGAUGAAACUCCAAAGCAAUUUUUUAAAAAGGCAGCAGUGUGUUUUUUAAUGUUGGUUGGAUCAAAGAGCAGUGAAACCAACAUAGGAAUGUACAAGGGGUGAGAAAAAAUUACUGUGAGACAGUGGGAGGGAGUUAA